rnacentral:lncRNA from 1 species
CAAAACGCGAACACACCAGACUGGUCAGCAGAUGUCCAGUCAACACCAACUAACUCUCACAGCGACAUGCGGGGAGCGUUUGUGCUGCGUUCUGAUUAGGGCCUGAUCCAGUUCGGUGGGUGCGCCUGAGCGAGCGGGUUCAGAGGGAAGAUGAGUGUGUGUAUUUAAGAGAGGUAAGAGGAGAUCAGCGUGGGCUGAGCUCUUCAUGUUUAUUCAUAGCUGUGCUGAUCUCUUCACAGGUCUGGCUCUCAUCUGCUCCCUUCUCCUGCUUUCCUGCAGCUCCUCCGUUACCGUCGCACCCCUUUGUGCGCUCCCCCAACUUCACGAGGGUCUCCUUCCCCAUCGCUGACUCAGCUGUUUUCCUACAGGUGUGGCAAGAGAGCCACACACACACACACACACACACAUACACACACACACGCACGCACGCACACACACACACACACACACGCACGCACGCACGCACGCACACACACACACACACACACGCUCCAAGUGAGUCGUGACUAGUGUGGCGUUGACUUUGCAGAACACCGGACUGCUCGGUUUUGAAGGGCUGCUUCUGCAGACUCCUGUUUGGAAACGAGACGCGGUGGAUGUUUGUUACAGGUGGUGAAUAAUGUGCACAGGCUGCAGGCGCCGCUCUGUUCUCAGGAAGGUCGAUUUAACUCAGUUAGCGCCUUUAGCUCGGUGCUUAUUCAGCCCCGUCUGUGCAACAUCGUCUUGUGGAGGCAAAAUAUGAUCGUGAGAGUCAUUCGAUUCAUGCUGGUUUACGCCUGCAUCAGCUGGUUUCACUGGACUUUUCUGUACAGUUCAUAGCACAGGAGACACACGUGUGUCAAACCUGCGACAACCUGUUCAAUUAGUUCAUUAACGUCAGAGGGACAGUUCAGGCCCCUCCCUGAGCCUCCACAGAGAGCAGCACCAGCGCCUCGGACCCGCUCACGUCUUGGCUUCGCGGCGCCUCUGCCGUCCUCUGCCGCGCUCGCUCAUCGGCGCCCAUUUGCAUGACAAAGUGGACCAUUCAUUGACUCUGGGCUUGUUAGGUAACGUGCCACAGCCUGAACGCCCCGGCAUCGGGCAUCCAGCAGCCUUUUUCUUCCUCGUCGCCAGCAUCCUCCACCUCCUCUCCGCCUCUUCACCACUUCCACCCACGCGCCGCUUUUGUUGACUCUUGUCCUGAGCGAGCGUGCGCCCGUGCGCGUGUUUUUCUGCCAUUUUAUUAUGACAUUUUCCCCUUUUUUCACGUUUUUGCUUUUCACGUGUUCUGCAAGUGUUGCUCACGGUGCUGUGGCUUUGGGAGCUGCUCAGGUGGAGGAGAGGAUUUGCUGCAGUGUUAGAUUUUUACAGGAAAACCACAGACAGGCAAACAUGUUAAUUAUGAUCAUUAACUAAGCAAGAAAUAGCUGCUUAGAUUAGUUUCGCUGUCAUUCUAAACAAACCACCAAUGGUUUUAUUUAGCUCACACUGUGUUUUAAACUCCUCUUCAAACAUGUGAUAACCAGA